AUUGAACGCUGGCGGCAGGCCUAACACAUGCAAGUCGAGCGGGGUUUUCGGACCUAGCGGCGGACGGGUGAGUAAUGCGUAGGAAGCUACCCGACAGAGGGGGAUACCAGUUGGAAACGACUGUUAAUACCGCAUAAUGUCUACGGACCAAAGUGUGGGACCUUCGGGCCACAUGCUAUCGGAUGCGCCUACGUGGGAUUAGCUAGUUGGUGAGGUAAUGGCUCACCAAGGCGACGAUCCCUAGCUGGUUUGAGAGGAUGAUCAGCCACACUGGAACUGAGACACGGUCCAGACUCCUACGGGAGGCAGCAGUGGGGAAUAUUGGACAAUGGGCGCAAGCCUGAUCCAGCCAUGCCGCGUGUGUGAAGUAGGCCUUCGGGUUGUAAAGCACUUUCAGUAGGGAGGAAGCGUUGUGUGUUAAUAGUACACAGCGUUGACGUUACCUACAGAAGAAGCACCGGCUAACUCUGUGCCAGCAGCCGCAGUAACAC
rnacentral:rRNA from 1 species